rnacentral:rRNA from 1 species
UACAGAGGGUGCGAGCGUUAAUCGGAAUUACUGGGCGUAAAGCGCGCGUAGGCGGCUUUGCAAGUCGGGUGUGAAAUCCCCAGGCUUAACCUGGGAACUGCAUUUGAGACUGCAUUGCUAGAGUAUGGGAGAGGGAAGUGGAAUUUCCGGUGUAGCGGUGAAAUGCGUAGAUAUCGGAAGGAACAUCGGUGGCGAAAGCGACUUCCUGGACCAAUACUGACGCUCAUGUGCGAAAGCGUGGGGAGCAAACAGG